ACAGUGCCACGGCCGUCUGAGCUAAGGUCUGAAUAAAGACAAUGAGGCGCAGGUGACUGCGCCUUUUUU
rnacentral:sRNA from 19 species